AACGAACGCUGGCGGCAUGCCUAACACAUGCAAGUCGAACGAACCCUUCGGGGUUAGUGGCGCACGGGUGCGUAACGCGUGGGAAUCUGCCCUUUGCUUCGGAAUAACAGUUAGAAAUGACUGCUAAUACCGGAUGAUGUCUUCGGACCAAAGAUUUAUCGGCAAGGGAUGAGCCCGCGUAGGAUUAGGUAGUUGGUGGGGUAAAGGCCUACCAAGCCGACGAUCCUUAGCUGGUCUGAGAGGAUGAUCAGCCACACUGGGACUGAGACACGGCCCAGACUCCUACGGGAGGCAGCAGUGGGGAAUAUUGGACAAUGGGCGCAAGCCUGAUCCAGCAAUGCCGCGUGAGUGAUGAAGGCCUUCGGGUCGUAAAGCUCUUUUACCAGGGAUGAUAAUGACAGUACCUGGAGAAUAAGCUCCGGCUAACUCCGUGCCAGCCGCCGCGGUAACAC
rnacentral:rRNA from 1 species